AUGAAUUAAUGGCAAACUUUGCCGAAAGGAAAGGGCGCAAAGCUACGGGCCUUAUGGGUUGUGACUUUCAAUCCAAUGGCAGCCGGGUUGCCUUG
rnacentral:ncRNA from 1 species